AUGCGCCUGUUACAAAGUUUGAAGUCAGUAGAUUUGGAUACAUUAGAGCUGAGACUGUACAAAAGAAAACUUAGUUGCAUAAUCUUGACGGAGCAUGUUUGGUGCCAGUUUAUAUUGUUUUUACUUUUUUUUAGGGAGUUCAUAUUGUUUUACUACUAUGGCAAGUAUCAGAUCAUCUUUCUUUUUUUCUUUUUUUUUUGCGAGAAACAUAGAGCUUUAUUCAAUCAAAACCGGCUCCAGCGCAAUCAACCAUCAGGCUCGUCACUAGGAAGCCGGGAGGAGAGUCCAUCCAACAAUCAGUCACUCCCAGUGUGCUCGCAUGCUUUGCACAAAGGUGCGCUGAGUUGUUAG
rnacentral:rRNA from 1 species